GACGUAGGGCGCGAGCGUUGUCCGGAUUUAUUGGGCGUAAAGAGCUCGUAGGCGGCUUGUCGCGUCGACUGUGAAAACCCGCGGCUCAACUGCGGGCCUGCAGCCGAUACGGGCAGGCUAGAGUUCGGUAGGGGAGACUGGAAUUCCUGGUGUAGCGGUGAAAUGCGCAGAUAUCGAGAGGAACACCUGCGGCGAAGGCGGGUUGCUGGGCCGACACUGACGCUGAUGCGCGAAAGCCAGGGGAGCGAACGGG
rnacentral:rRNA from 1 species